UACGAAGGGGGCUAGCGUUGUUCGGAAUUACUGGGCGUAAAGCGCGCGUAGGCGGUUUUGCAAGCCAGAGGUGAAAUGCCUGAGCUUAACUUAGGAAUUGCCUUUGGGACUGCGAGGCUUUGAGGAUGAGAGAGGUGAGUGGAAUUCCCAGUGUAGAGGUGAAAUUCGUAGAUAUUGGGAAGAACACCGGUGGCGAAGGCGGCUCACUGGACCACAACUGACGCUGAGGCGCGAAAGCUAGGGGAGCAAACAGG
rnacentral:rRNA from 1 species